rnacentral:rRNA from 1 species
AGAGUUUGAUCAUGGCUCAGGAUGAACGUUGGCGGCGUGCCUAACACAUGCAAGUCGAACGGAAAUAGCAAUAUUUGAGUGGCGCACGGGUGAGUAACACGUAGCUAAUCUACCUCAAAGCGCGGGAUAACGUGUCGAAAGACAGGCUAAUACCGCAUAAGCUCACAAAAAGUAGAGGAUUGUGAGAAAAGGCUUCGGUCACUUUGAGAUGAGGCUGCGGCCCAUCAGCUAGUUGGCGUGGUAAAAGCACACCAAGGCGACGACGGGUAGGGGACCUGAGAGGGUGACCCCCCACACUGGGACUGAGACACGGCCCAGACUCCUACGGGAGGCAGCAGUGAGGAAUAUUGCACAAUGGGCGCAAGCCUGAUGCAGCGACGCCGCGUGGGUGAAGAAGGUUUUCGGAUCGUAAACCCCUUUUACGAGGGAAGAAGUUCUGACGGUACCUCGUGAAUAAGACACGGCUAACUACGUGCCAGCCGCCGCGGUAAUAC